UACAGAGGGGGCAAGCGUUGUUCGGAAUUACUGGGCGUAAAGGGCGCGUAGGCGGCCCGCUAAGUCGAACGUGAAAUCCCCAGGCUCAACCUGGGAACUGCGUCCGAUACUGGCAGGCUUGAAUCCGGGAGAGGGAUGUGGAAUUCCAGGUGUAGCGGUGAAAUGCGUAGAUAUCUGGAGGAACACCGGUGGCGAAGGCGGCAUCCUGGACCGGCAUUGACGCUGAGGCGCGAAAGCUAGGGUAGCAAACGGG
rnacentral:rRNA from 1 species